rnacentral:rRNA from 1 species
CGAUGCAUGUUCAGUGAAAUCGAGUAGGGCGGGACACGUGUUAUCCUGUCUGAAUAUGGGGGGACCAUCCUCCAAGGCUAAAUACUCCUGACUGACCGAUAGUGAACCAGUACCGUGAGGGAAAGGCGAAAAGAACCCCUGUGAGGGGAGUGAAAUAGAACCUGAAACCGUGUACGUACAAGCAGUAGGAGCACCUUCGUGGUGUGACUGCGUACCUUUUGUAUAAUGGGUCAGCGACUUAUAUUCAGUGGCAAGGUUAACCAUCUAGGGGAGCCGUAGGG